ACGGGAUUUUGUUUCGCGCCCUCAACGUGACAAGGAGAAGAAAUGGUUGGAGUUGGUCGGAGUGCUCAUUCCUACUUUGUUCAAUUGAGAGGCAAACACAACUGCGUAUUCACCUGGAGUCAGCUCGACCGUUUGCUCAAGUUUUUGUGUGAAUGGUGCUAGAAGUGUUCCAGUGACAGAGUUAAUGUGGCAAUGCAAGGCCUGCCCAUUAGUUUUACCAAGUAGGUCACAAAUUCUGAGGCAUUAUCGAGUGAGACAUAGGCAUCACGGAAAUAACAGUCAUAUUCCAUGUGUACAUGCAAGCUGCCCAUGUAGUUUUAAAACAUGGAAUGCCCUGUUAAUUCAUUUGAAUAGAUGUCAUGUUAUUAAAACUACCCCAUGUCA